rnacentral:rRNA from 1 species
UACAGGGGGUGCAAACGUUGCUCGGAAUUAUUGGGCGUAAAGGGAGUGUAGGCGGCUUGUUAAGUCUUCUGUGAAAUCUACGGGCUCAGCCUGUAACGUGCAGAGGAAACUGGCGAGCUUGAGUGUCGGAGAGGAUAGGGGAAUACCCGGUGUAGAGGUGAAAUUCGUAGAUAUCGAGAGGAACAUCGGUGGCGAAGGCGGCCUUCUGGACAGUGACUGACGCUGAGACGCGAAAGCGUGGGGAGCAAACAGG